rnacentral:lncRNA from 1 species
AUCUUUGUUUUGUAUGUGGUGCUGAGGAUCGAACCCGGGCCGCACGCAUGCCAGGCGAGCGCACUACCACUUGAGCCACAUCCCCAGCCCUUAAGUGAGAUCUUGAGGGAGGGUGGAGCUCCCUGGGAGAGGUGGCGCAGGCUGUAACCCCACAACUUAGGAGGCUGAGGCAGAAAGAAGGAUCCGAAGUUCAAGGCCAGCCUCAGCAAUUUAGUGAGGCCCUGUCUCAAAAUUAAAAAAAGGACUUGGAUGUAGCUCAGUGGUAGAGGACCCCUGGGUUCAAUCCAAAAAGAAGAAGGAGAAGGAGAAGAAGAAGAAAACUCAUUUGGCAAAAAGAGGGCAACGGGCAUUUCUGGAAGAGAGAACAGAAUAUAUGAAGGCCCUGAGCCAGGAGGGAGCAGGGCCCUUGGAAGGAGUUGACCCAAGCCAGUGUGGCUGGAUCAGAGUGAGGGAAAGAGGUGAGAAGAAGUGGGUUGGCGUAGGCCUUAUUAAAGGGAUUAAAAAAAAAAAACUCUAUCUUAAGAGCAAAGGGAGCCACUAGAGGUCUGAAGCAGGUAAGAGACUCAUCAGAAUUGUCACUUGGCGAGAUUCUGGUUAUUCCGAAGAGAAUCCAGUCGUGGUGGGGACAGAGAGACCUCUUGAGAGGCUGUCAUGGUCACCAGGUGAGAAUGGAUUCUACUUCAACAAGAACAGCAAACAGGUUAGAGAGGGGUGGGCAGGUACGGUGGGCUCUGGGCUUGCACUAUGGAGUACAGGUGGGGAGGUCAGAAUCAGGACAACACCUGCCUGGGUUUCCGGGGGGACUGUCAGGGCAGAUGGAGCUGCUACCCAGAGGGAGACCUGCAGCAGCAGCCUUAAAAUCUUACAGAGAAGGAAGUGAAGUUGCAGAGGAAUAGCGCCUGGGAGAGAUUGCUGGCUUCCUGUUACACUCCCCGCUGAACUUGACGGUGUCUUCCACUCGUCCUUACCACUGCCUCAGUGGCUCCCGGACGAGGCCAGAGAAUCGACUUUAAAUUCUGAGUGUGGAUUCCCACGGAGACCCAGGAGUCACAUUUGAUGGAAGGAAAUGCGUGCAGAGCUCCUCUCGCCUCUGUAGCAAUUGGCAUGGCCAUCCUGUCCCCCUCGCCUCCUCCAGGUGAGGGUGCUGUGGGUGGGGGCGGGGGUGGGGCUGCUCUGAUUCACCUGAAUCUGUGAAUAAGUAGAAAAACGAGAAAUAAACAGUUCAAAACAAACCCCAAAGGGAGAUGGAUUCCUUCUAAGCUCUUCCAAGCCAGCUGUGGUGGAAGCCCCUGCUGCCCGGUGCCAAUCAGCCUGGGUGGUCCUUGAGAGCACCACCUGGGGUCUCCCAUGGGGAAACCAAGGGUGCUGGCUGUACCCGGCUUUUCUCCAGUCACUUUUUCUAUGCACUAGAGAGUUGGUGGUAAAUGACAGGAGCCCAACUUGAACCAGCCUAACCAGAGAGGGUGGUUUCGAGAACACUGAGAUGGGGGAGGGAGAUGGUCACAGAUGUCAUGGAGGAGUUGACGGGUCUAGUGGCAGGAAGGGCAGGGUGUGGCUGAAGGCCCUGGAGCAACCAGAACCUAGGGAUGCAAUAUGCUCAGGACUCUUGCCUUCUCUGAUUCUUCCUGACCGUCUGCUCCCAUCGUCCCUCUUCCUGAAGACAGUCUCCAGAGGACAGUCCAACAUGGCAGCCAACCCCACUGGAUAUCAUCUCUUAACAGUUUCAGCUGCCUGGGAGAGACUGCGCAGACAUUUUUAUCCUAAAUGCAAACUCCCCGGUGCCCAUGCCCAGCCUCAUCAACCAUAACUUUGGCAGCAAGGGACUUAUAUAAGAACAGGGCAGCUCCCAAAAGCUGUUGGAGUGGAACAGGGGCAGGUCUCAGAAUGAGAUCAGCAAUCCACCAGCCAGAUAAAAUGAUGAUGCCUUCCACUACCUGUAUGCAUCGAGAGUCGAGUACCUUUAGAAAUGAGGCACCUACCACAAAAGUUGUUACACCUCUUUUCUUCUUUGGAUCGUUCGUUCAAAGAAAUGUGAAUCUGUGCUCCUGGGUCUACAUCAUUCAUCUCUGACUUAGAGUUAACUGUUUUCUUGUUUUCCUUUUAAUCAGGGAUCAUUUUUUGUUUGAUUUUCAUUGACAGAGUCUUUACAAACAAAGCUGCAACAUUCUAUCAAAAAAUAAAAUGAAAUAAAUGAAAUGAAAUGAGGCACCCAGGUCCCUGUUCUGCCAGUGCUCGGUGACAUCAUCCACUUGAAAGGACCAUCUCAUUUAUCACGGUGUGACUCAGGAGCAUCGCCACCUUCAAGGGCUGCCUGUAUCCAGAAUUUCUCAUGCACAGUGAUCUGUGUGAUUCUGAAGAUGACUCAAGAACCCAAACGCAGCUUCGUAGCUGCAAUUAUUUCUGCAGAUACAAUAUUUGUACGGAUCUCAGUAUGACUGUUUUCCUUUCUGGUCUUUCCUGACUUAUUUUUCAUUCCCUAACUUCCUGUUUCGUCCCCAGUGCUCCCAAGAACUCAUUUAUCUUUCCAACAGGAGAGCAUGUUUCUGGCUUUCUGACCCCCAAAGUCCAGACUGACCGACUGAAACUCUGCUUCUGAGCAGGGGUCCAGACACCAGUGUUUUGAGAUCAUUUCAGGUGGUGUGGGGAUGGCUCAAGGGUGGCAGCUGUCCAGUCCCAGGAGGACAGGCUGCCCUGUCUGGGGUGGUGGGACACACUCCUAGCACCCACUUCUUCCCAUCCCUAACCUUCACCCUGAGUAUCUGGCUUACCUCCUCUGAUCCCUCCUCCACACCUGUCUCCACCUCCGCUUUCUCAUCUGUGUGCCCCCCCACCUCCCACCUUCCUCCCCUUAAGCUAUAGUUUGGAUAUUUAAUGUCCCCAAAGGCUCCUGUGCUAAAGGCUUGUUCUCCAGCUUGGUGCCAUUGGAAGGUGGUGGAACUAUUAAUAGGUGGGGCCUAGUGGGAGGUCUUCUGGUGACUUGACGGGAUAGUGGGACCCCAGGUCCUUCCUCUGCCUCUUUUCCUUCCUUCCUUUGCUGAGGAUUGAAUCCAAGGCUUCACACGUGCCAGGCAAUUGCUUUUUCACUGAUCUGCACCCCUGGCUUUGCUUCCUCUUUUCCUUCUCUUCCCAAUAUGAGAUGAAUGGCUUUUCUCCACUGCAUGCUCCCAUGGUCUCCCUGCCAUGAUGUGCUGAAGCAAUACAGGCCCCAGAGCAGCAGGGCCAACUGAGCAGGGACUGAGACCUCCAUAACUGUGAGCCCAAGGAAGCCCUCUGCUUCUAUAAACUGGUUAUCAUAGGUAUUUGUUACUGUAAUGGAAAACUGACUAACUUUAGGGCCUGUUCCUGAGACAUGACCCACAUUGCACCCAACUCCUCAGCACCCCUUCACUGGACUACACCUGCCCAAAGCAACUGGGCCAAGUGGCCAAGGACUGAAACAUCUGAAACCACGAACCCGGAUGAAACUUUCCUCCUUUAGAUAGCUUUUCUCUGGUAUUUUGUCACAGCAAUGAAAUGCUGACUAACACACUCUGGUUAAUAACAAUUCGUUGAAUAUUUCAAGAUGACUGGAAGAGAGGAUUUUGAAUGUUCCCAACACAAAGAAAUGAUCCAUGUCUGAGUGAUGUAUAUGCCAGUUACCCUGAUCUAAUCAUUGUAUAUUAUAUACAUGUAUUGAAAUAUCACCCCAGAAAUGUAUACAACUGACUGUGUCGCUUACAUUUUUCCAAACAUUUAGAAAUACGUUGACUUUAAAGAUUAAGUGAAUAACAGCAGAGAUGUUUCACGGAGGCCACAGAAAUGGUGGCGAUGAUACGUUGACUGAGUUAGAGAGAUAAGUGUAAAUCGAG